GCACCCAUAGUAAUUGCGUGAUUUUAUUUACUAACUUUAAAGAGCGUAAUCAGGGCAUGGCUGGGUUUGAGCUAAAUCAAACACAAGAGGGCACCCACCGCCCCUAUGUUAGAAAUUACAUGGAUAUUUUUGGCUUAAUGCCCUACCUCCCAGUGAUUAAAAUUAGUGGUUAGCAGGGGCUAGAACUAGUUACUAAUUAAGUCCUGGCUAAACCCGUGCCAGCUGCCGCGGUUAGACGAUGAGGGCAAGGGGAUGGUAUUUGGGGUACAGCUCACUUAAGUCAAUUUCAAUAUGCGAUUUCGAGGGUGGAAUCUAAAAUCGCACCUCAAUUGGUGGGACCCUGUGAAAACCUAAUAGCGACUAGGAUUAGAUACCCUAUUAGUAUGUCGUUAAACCCCACCCCGAGUAGUACAAGUUUAUACUCUAAACUCAAAGAAUUUGGCGGCGUCCUAUCUUUUUAGAGGAACCUGCCCCGUAAUCGAUGGUCCACGUUGUUUUAUACCUCCUUUAAAAGCUUGUAUACCGCCGUUUAGGGUAUGCCAUGAGGCUUGCCCAGAAUUAAGUUAUUCAAUAAUUCAGGUCAAGGUGCAGCCUAUAAGGAGGGGGGUGGUGGGUUACAGUUUUUCAAUAAUUGGACUCUCGCGUUAAAACCGAGACGAAAUUGGAUUUAAAAGUAAUUUUACUCAAUAAGGUUAAAUGGCCUAGCACUAGGGCGUGCACACAUCGCCCGUCACUCUCUUCCUAACAAGAGAUAAGUCGUAACAAAGUAGGCGUACUGGAAAGUGUGCCUAGCAU
rnacentral:ncRNA from 1 species